UGUAGCUAACGAAAUGAUCAGCUUCCUCUAUAGCAAGCCUACAUUCGUGUACCUCGCUUGAUCAUUCUUUCAUGAAGAGGAUUUAAUUGCUAAUAUGUGGAUCAGGAGCGGCGCUCCACCCUCAUCCAAUUUCCGAUGCUUCUCUGGCUCUCCUCCUACAGAGAUGACGAUUCAGUCCCCUAAACCAAUGAUUCAGGUUUAUAAACGAUCGCUCCUCUCCUUCUACCGCUCCUCUUCCACUUGAUCCAGCCGAUACAUAUGAUUGUUCCACACUCAAAGCUUGGCCCAACUCAUUACUGUGUACCCCAUCCGAGUUCAUUACUAUGUACCAAUUCAACAUCGAUUCCUCAAUCCAUCACUUUCCAGGGGAAAAGAUGCAAAAAUAUUUACGUAUUCUUGUGAGGUAGCCGAAGAAUGCUUCGAGAUGUGUCGUAGACUCAAAAUUUCCAUUUCUUGUGAGAAAGAGGAAUAAU